rnacentral:rRNA from 1 species
GACAGAGGGUGCAAACGUUGUUCGGAAUUACUGGGCGUAAAGCGCGUGUAGGCUGCUCGGAAAGUCGGAUGUGAAAGCCCUGGGCUCAACCUAGGAAGAGCAUUCGAAACUCCCGAGCUUGAGUUCCGGAGAGGAAGGCGGAAUUCUCGGUGUAGAGGUGAAAUUCGUAGAUAUCGAGAGGAACACCGGUGGCGAAGGCGGCCUUCUGGACGGUGACUGACGCUGAGACGCGAAAGCGUGGGGAACAAACAGG